AAUCAGCUGACUUUAACUAAAGGAGAUACCCAGGUGGACCCAAUGUGAAUAUAAGACUCCUUAAAUGGGAAAGAAGGAGGCAGAAGAAUCAGAAGCAGAGAGAGGGCAUUGUGAGGAAAAACUCAACUGGCCAUUGCUGGCUUUGCAGUUGGAAGGGGCCCAAUAGCUAGUGACUAGGUCAGCCUCUGGGACUGAAAAGGCAAGGAAAUAGAUUCCUCCCCUAGAGCCUCCAAAAGGAACACAGUCCUGCUGUCAUCUUGAUUUUAGCCCAUUGAGAUGCCUUUUCAACUUCUGACCUCCAGCACGCCAGCCUUUGGACACCCUAGAAAUAUUGAUUGAAUCUGCCCAAUUUGACUUUUAUAAUAAAUGGAACAAGCUGGAACUGAACAAUGUUGAUUACAAAAUCUUUUCAUUCUUUGUGAUGAAAGGAACAUGAGCAUCCUCUAGACGUUGGAAAUGGCAAGGAAAUUGGUCCUCUCCUAGAGCCUCCAGAAGGAAUGCAGCCAUGCGGAUACCAUGAUUUCAGCCCAGUGAGUCCCACUCCAGACUUCUCACCUAUAGAACUGCAAGGCCAGCUCGGUGGUGCAGCGGUUAAAUUCACACAUUCCGCUUCUCUGCUCGGGGUCCCAGGGUUCACCAGUUCGGAUGCGGACAUGGCACCGCUUGGCACGCCAUUCUGUGCCAUAGGCUUCAGCAGUAAUGCCAUCAGGUCAAGCAGUGACCUAGUGGACAAGAGGCACCAUGAAACAGCCCAACAAGGCUUUGAAAACAACCCUGGGACUUUCAUGCAGAUCUGAAACCUUCGCUACUGCUCCCCACCACUCCCCACCAACCCAGACUGCCCUAAAGGCCAAGUGGUCAAUUUGGGAAGGAGAAGGGGUAAGGAUGGAAUCUGAAAAACUGAGCAUUUACUUGAGAAGAGCUCUGGUCUACAAAAAGAGACUUACAGCAACUGUUAGAAUUUUACAAAAUACACCCUGAGAAGGUUAAAAAAAAAACCAAAACAUAUAUUGUAACUGUGAGAAAUGAGUUCAAACAUGAAAUCUGAUAGAUCGUGAAAUUACAAUGUAAGUUGUGAAACACUAAUUUUCCCUCUGAGACUAAAAUGUACUCAGGUUUUUGCUAGGAUACAAUUGAGAAUGAAGAGGAUGGAAAGCUAUCCUAUGGAAAGACCCCCACCCCCCAACCGCCCCCGGACCUGCCAGCCUUCUCCACAACCAUCCUGUCCCAUUUCUGUGUCGGCAACAGAUCAUGCAUGCAUAUCAGAG
rnacentral:lncRNA from 1 species